GGUUAAGCGACUAAGCGUACACGGUGGAUGCCCUGGCAGUCAGAGGCGAUGAAGGACGUGCUAAUCUGCGAUAAGCGCCGGUAAGGUGAUAUGAACCGUUAUAACCGGCGAUUUCCGAAUGGGGAAACCCAGUGUGAUUCGUCACACUAUCAUUAACUGAAUCCAUAGGUUAAUGAGGCGAACCGGGGGAACUGAAACAUCUAAGUACCCCGAGGAAAAGAAAUCAACCGAGAUUCCCCCAGUAGCGGCGAGCGAACGGGGAGGAGCCCAGAGCCUGAAUCAGCAUGUGUGUUAGUGGAAGCGUCUGGAAAGGCGCGCGAUACAGGGUGACAGCCCCGUACACAAAAGCGCAUGUGCUGUGAGCUCGAUGAGUAGGGCGGGACACGUGGUAUCCUGUCUGAAUAUGGGGGGACCAUCCUCCAAGGCUAAAUACUCCUGACUGACCGAUAGUGAACCAGUACCGUGAGGGAAAGGCGAAAAGAACCCCGGCGAGGGGAGUGAAAAAGAACCUGAAACCGUGUACGUACAAGCAGUGGGAGCACAGGUUUACCUGUGUGACUGCGUACCUUUUGUAUAAUGGGUCAGCGACUUAUAUUCUGUAGCAAGGUUAACCGAAUAGGGGAGCCGGAGGGAAACCGAGUCUUAAUUGGGCGUUAAGUUGCAGGGUAUAGACCCGAAACCCGGUGAUCUAGCCAUGGGCAGGUUGAAGGUUGGGUAACACUAACUGGAGGACCGAACCGACUAAUGUUGAAAAAUUAGCGGAUGACCUGUGGCUGGGGGUGAAAGGCCAAUCAAACCGGGAGAUAGCUGGUUCUCCCCGAAAGCUAUUUAGGUAGCGCCUCGUGAAUUCAUCUCCGGGGGUAGAGCACUGUUUCGGCUAGGGGGCCAUCCCGGCUUACCAACCCGAUGCAAACUGCGAAUACCGGAGAAUGUUAUCACGGGAGACACACGGCGGGUGCUAACGUCCGUCGUGAAGAGGGAAACAACCCAGACCGCCAGCUAAGGUCCCAAAGUCAUGGUUAAGUGGGAAACGAUGUGGGAAGGCCCAGACAGCCAGGAUGUUGGCUUAGAAGCAGCCAUCAUUUAAAGAAAGCGUAAUAGCUCACUGGUCGAGUCGGCCUGCGCGGAAGAUGUAACGGGGCUAAACCAUGCACCGAAGCUGCGGCAGCGACGCUGAUGCGUUGUUGGGUAGGGGAGCGUUCUGUAAGCCUGCGAAGGUGACCUGUGAGGGUUGCUGGAGGUAUCAGAAGUGCGAAUGCUGACAUAAGUAACGAUAAAGCGGGUGAAAAGCCCGCUCGCCGGAAGACCAAGGGUUCCUGUCCAACGUUAAUCGGGGCAGGGUGAGUCGACCCCUAAGGCGAGGCCGAAAGGCGUAGUCGAUGGGAAACGGGUUAAUAUUCCCGUACUUGGUGUUACUGCGAAGGGGGGACGGAGAAGGCUAUGUUGGCCGGGCGACGGUUGUCCCGGUUUAAGCGUGUAGGUGUGUGUUCCAGGUAAAUCCGGUUCACUUUAACACUGAGGCGUGACGACGAGGCACUACGGUGCUGAAGCAACAAAUGCCCUGCUUCCAGGAAAAGCCUCUAAGCAUCAGGUAACACGAAAUCGUACCCCAAACCGACACAGGUGGUCAGGUAGAGAAUACCAAGGCGCUUGAGAGAACUCGGGUGAAGGAACUAGGCAAAAUGGUGCCGUAACUUCGGGAGAAGGCACGCUGACACGUAGGUGAAGUGAUUUACUCAUGGAGCUGAAGUCAGUCGAAGAUACCAGCUGGCUGCAACUGUUUAUUAAAAACACAGCACUGUGCAAACACGAAAGUGGACGUAUACGGUGUGACGCCUGCCCGGUGCCGGAAGGUUAAUUGAUGGGGUCAGCGCAAGCGAAGCUCCUGAUCGAAGCCCCGGUAAACGGCGGCCGUAACUAUAACGGUCCUAAGGUAGCGAAAUUCCUUGUCGGGUAAGUUCCGACCUGCACGAAUGGCGUAAUGAUGGCCAGGCUGUCUCCACCCGAGACUCAGUGAAAUUGAACUCGCUGUGAAGAUGCAGUGUACCCGCGGCAAGACGGAAAGACCCCGUGAACCUUUACUAUAGCUUGACACUGAACAUUGAGCCUUGAUGUGUAGGAUAGGUGGGAGGCUUUGAAGUGUGGACGCCAGUCUGCAUGGAGCCGACCUUGAAAUACCACCCUUUAAUGUUUGAUGUUCUAACGUGGACCCGUAAUCCGGGUUGCGGACAGUGUCUGGUGGGUAGUUUGACUGGGGCGGUCUCCUCCUAAAGAGUAACGGAGGAGCACGAAGGUUGGCUAAUCCUGGUCGGACAUCAGGAGGUUAGUGCAAUGGCAUAAGCCAGCUUGACUGCGAGCGUGACGGCGCGAGCAGGUGCGAAAGCAGGUCAUAGUGAUCCGGUGGUUCUGAAUGGAAGGGCCAUCGCUCAACGGAUAAAAGGUACUCCGGGGAUAACAGGCUGAUACCGCCCAAGAGUUCAUAUCGACGGCGGUGUUUGGCACCUCGAUGUCGGCUCAUCACAUCCUGGGGCUGAAGUAGGUCCCAAGGGUAUGGCUGUUCGCCAUUUAAAGUGGUACGCGAGCUGGGUUUAGAACGUCGUGAGACAGUUCGGUCCCUAUCUGCCGUGGGCGCUGGAGAACUGAGGGGGGCUGCUCCUAGUACGAGAGGACCGGAGUGGACGCAUCACUGGUGUUCGGGUUGUCAUGCCAAUGGCACUGCCCGGUAGCUAAAUGCGGAAGAGAUAAGUGCUGAAAGCAUCUAAGCACGAAACUUGCCCCGAGAUGAGUUCUCCCUGAGACUUAGAGUCUCCUGAAGGAACGUUGAAGACGACGACGUUGAUAGGCCGGGUGUGUAAGCGCAGCGAUGCGUUGAGCUAACCGGUACUAAUGAACCGUGAGGCUUAACCUU
rnacentral:rRNA from 3 species